CCUACGGGGGGCAGCAGUAGGGAAUUUUCCACAAUGGGCGAAAGCCUGAUGGAGCAACGCCGCGUGGGUGAAGAAGGUCUUCGGAUCGUAAAACCCUGUUGUUAGAGAAGAAAGUGCGUGAGAGUAACUGUUCACGUUUCGACGGUAUCUAACCAGAAAGCCACGGCUAACUACGUGCCAGCAGCCGCGGUAAUACGUAGGUGGCAAGCGUUAUCCGGAUUUAUUGGGCGUAAAGGGAACGCAGGCGGUCUUUUAAGUCUGAUGUGAAAGCCUUCGGCUUAACCGGAGUAGUGAAUGGGAAACGGGGAGACGUGAGGGCAGAAGAGGAGAGUGGAACUCCAUGUGUAGCGGUGAAAUGCGUAGAUAUAUGGAAGAACACCAGUGGCGAAAGCGGCUCUCUGGUCUGUAACUGACGCUGAGGUUCGAAAGCGUGGGUAGCAAACAGGAUUAGAUACCCCUGUCGUC
rnacentral:rRNA from 1 species